rnacentral:rRNA from 1 species
GACGAACGCUGGCGGCGUGCUUAACACAUGCAAGUCGAACGGAAAGGCCCUGCUUUUGUGGGGUGCUCGAGUGGCGAACGGGUGAGUAACACGUGAGUAACCUGCCCUUGACUUUGGGAUAACUUCAGGAAACUGGGGCUAAUACCGGAUAGGAGCUCCUGCUGCAUGGUGGGGGUUGGAAAGUUUCGGCGGUUGGGGAUGGACUCGCGGCUUAUCAGCUUGUUGGUGGGGUAGUGGCUUACCAAGGCUUUGACGGGUAGCCGGCCUGAGAGGGUGACCGGCCACAUUGGGACUGAGGUACCGCCCCGACUCCUACGGGAGGCAGCAGUGGGGAAUAUUGCACCAUGGGCGGAAGCCUGAUGCAGCAACGCCGCGUGCGGGAUGACGGCCUUCGGGUUGUAAACCGCUUUCGCCUGUGACGAAGCGUGAGUGACGGUAAUGGGUAAAGAAGCACCGGCUAACUACGUG